rnacentral:lncRNA from 1 species
CAUAAACUGCUCAAACAAUGUUGUAUGGGAAACGUUGUUCUUUUUUUGGAUAAACCAAGAUCACGUUACUAAGACACAAAAAUGGAAGCCAGAGGAGAAAAAAAAAUGGUAGCAGCACUGACAAGGAGCAUCGGCAUGAACGACACAAACAGAAGUGAAGAGCCCCAAAAAUUACACGAGGCAAAAACAAAAUCCAGCAUCGAAGUUCGAAGAGAAAUCUAAAACUGAAGAUUUAAGAGAACAAAUUGAAACAGAAGAGAACAUCUCGCAGCAGAAAACCAAAGAACACAAGCCACCUAUAUCUCAUAAUUUUGGCUGAGGAUGAUUGGUUUAGCUAACAUGUUUCUCCCUUUUCACUUCCCAAAUCCUGAAGUGUUCUCCAUCUCCUGAAAAAUAUACAGUGAGCAAGAUCAUUAAUAGAUGGAAAAUGGAGAAAUGACGGAAAUAUUGUUACUACAGAAAACAAUUAGAAAACAUCGCACAACUCAUACAACUAUCUUCCUUAAGUUGAACUAGAAAAUGGAGAAAAUGUUUGUUUCAAUCAAACCAGAUAAAAGAUUUGGCCA